GAGAAUGUUAUCACGGGAGACACACGGCGGGUGCUAACGUCCGUCGUGAAGAGGGAAACAACCCAGACCGCCAGCUAAGGUCCCAAAGUCAUGGUUAAGUGGGAAACGAUGUGGGAAGGCCCAGACAGCCAGGAUGUUGGCUUAGAAGCAGCCAUCAUUUAAAGAAAGCGUAAUAGCUCACUGGUCGAGUCGGCCUGCGCGGAAGAUGUAACGGGGCUAAACCAUGCACCGAAGCUGCGGCAGCGAUGCUUAUGCGUUGUUGGGUAGGGGAGCGUUCUGUAAGCCUGCGAAGGUGUGCUGUGAGGCAUGCUGGAGGUAUCAGAAGUGCGAAUGCUGACAUAAGUAACGAUAAAGCGGGUGAAAAGCCCGCUCGCCGGAAGACCAAGGGUUCCUGUCCAACGUUAAUCGGGGCAGGGUGAGUCGACCCCUAAGGCGAGGCCGAAAGGCGUAGUCGAUGGGAAACAGGUUAAUAUUCCUGUACUUGGUGUUACUGCGAAGGGGGGACGGAGAAGGCUAUGUUGGCCGGGCGACGGUUGUCCCGGUUUAAGCGUGUAGGCUGGUUUUCCAGGCAAAUCCGGAAAAUCAAGGCUGAGGCGUGAUGACGAGGCACUACGGUGCUGAAGCAACAAAUGCCCUGCUUCCAGGAAAAGCCUCUAAGCAUCAGGUAACAUCAAAUCGUACCCCAAACCGACACAGGUGGUCAGGUAGAGAAUACCAAGGCGCUUGAGAGAACUCGGGUGAAGGAACUAGGCAAAAUGGUGCCGUAACUUCGGGAGAAGGCACGCUGAUAUGUAGGUGAAGUCCCUUGCGGAUGGAGCUGAAAUCAGUCGAAGAUACCAGCUGGCUGCAACUGUUUAUUAAAAACACAGCACUGUGCAAACACGAAAGUGGACGUAUACGGUGUGACGCCUGCCCGGUGCCGGAAGGUUAAUUGAUGGGGUCAGCGCAAGCGAAGCUCUUGAUCGAAGCCCCGGUAAACGGCGGCCGUAACUAUAACGGUCCUAAGGUAGCGAAAUUCCUUGUCGGGUAAGUUCCGACCUGCACGAAUGGCGUAAUGAUGGCCAGGCUGUCUCCACCCGAGACUCAGUGAAAUUGAACUCGCUGUGAAGAUGCAGUGUACCCGCGGCAAGACGGAAAGACCCCGUGAACCUUUACUAUAGCUUGACACUGAACAUUGAGCCUUGAUGUGUAGGAUAGGUGGGAGGCUUUGAAGUGUGGACGCCAGUCUGCAUGGAGCCGGCCUUGAAAUACCACCCUUUAAUGUUUGAUGUUCUAACGUGGACCCGUGAUCCGGGUUGCGGACAGUGUCUGGUGGGUAGUUUGACUGGGGCGGUCUCCUCCUAAAGAGUAACGGAGGAGCACGAAGGUUGGCUAAUCCUGGUCGGACAUCAGGAGGUUAGUGCAAUGGCAUAAGCCAGCUUGACUGCGAGCGUGACGGCGCGAGCAGGUGCGAAAGCAGGUCAUAGUGAUCCGGUGGUUCUGAAUGGAAGGGCCAUCGCUCAACGGAUAAAAGGUACUCCGGGGAUAACAGGCUGAUACCGCCCAAGAGUUCAUAUCGACGGCGGUGUUUGGCACCUCGAUGUCGGCUCAUCACAUCCUGGGGCUGAAGUAGGUCCCAAGGGUAUGGCUGUUCGCCAUUUAAAGUGGUACGCGAGCUGGGUUUAGAACGUCGUGAGACAGUUC
rnacentral:rRNA from 1 species